rnacentral:rRNA from 1 species
UACGAAGGGGGCUAGCGUUGUUCGGAAUUACUGGGCGUAAAUCGCACGUAGGCGGAUCGAUCAGUCAGGGGUGAAAUCCCAGAGCUCAACUCUGGAACUGCCUUUGAUACUGUCGAUCUGGAGUAUGGAAGAGGUGAGUGGAAUUCCGAGUGUAGAGGUGAAAUUCGUAGAUAUUCGGAGGAACACCAGUGGCGAAGGCGGCUCACUGGUCCAUUACUGACGCUGAGGUGCGAAAGCGUGGGGAGCAAACAGG